UAGUUACGACAACAUACUCAACAAUACAAACAAAAAUUUCAAUCCCAUAACUUUACAUUAUUUCAUCCGAAAUCAACGUAUAGAGAGCAAAUAUGGCCGCUUGCAAAGUUGGUUUCUUCACCGUCCUUCUUGUGUGUGGUAUUUUUUUAUUGGGAAGCAAUGUCGAGCUUGGAAAUGCUCAGAUUUGCCCACAGUUCUGUGAUCCUAGAGCAGCCUAUAUGAUCUGCCCACCUAAUAACAGAAGGACUGAACCAGUUUGUAGAAAUUGUUGUCAAGUUGCAAACAACGGCUGUCAACUCUUCGAUUCCAAUGAUUCACCUCUUUGUACUUAAGCUAGGUCUUUGGCGAGGUCGUAUCACCGCCCCAAAUGUUUAAAUCAAGUAAUCUCAACGAUAAUAAUAAUAAUAAUAAUAAUGUCUCAAUCAUCAAUGUAGAUGGAAUAAGAUUGUAAGACUCUUUUGAAUAACUAUGCACGAUAGUCUAUUACGUUCACUGUAAUCAAACCUCACCAUUGUAGUGUGGUUUUGUUGUUGUUGUUAAAUGUGAACUGUUUGGGUUGUUAUUA